AGCGAGGUAGAACAGCUAGGAGUGUUCGCUGGGCUCAUAACCCAGAGGUCGGUGGUUCAAAUCCACCCCUCGCUA
rnacentral:tRNA from 1 species